UACAGAGGUGGCAAGCGUUGUUCGGAAUUACUGGGCGUAAAGCGCGUGUAGGCGGCUCUUCAAGUCAGGCGUGAAAGCCCCGGGCUCAACUCGGGAACUGCGCUUGAUACUGUCGAGCUAGAGUGUGGAAGGGGCGAUUGGAAUUCCGUGUGUAGCGGUGAAAUGCGUAGAUAUACGGAGGAACACCAGAGGCGAAGGCGGAUCGCUGGGCCGAUACUGACGCUGAGGAGCGAAAGCGUGGGGAGCGAACAGG
rnacentral:rRNA from 1 species